GUUUAAUUCUAUGCCAACCACUAUUAUCAUCCCCCCUCCCCACACCCACCCCCAAAGGAAAAGAAAACAUUUAGACUGUAUUAGGAAAAGAGAAAAAGUAAUCUUUUUAGUAUGAAUUGGUCAUUAAACUAUUUUAUGAUUGAGACCUACUGUUGUAGAUAUUUAUAUUACAUAUUUCCUGUUGAAUUUCUGUUUUUCAUAAUUCCCCAGCUUUCACAAAUUUCUAUGUAGCAUGGAGAUAGAAGAUGCUCUGAUAGGCCUGAUUGCUGUCAGACUUGACUGAUUUCUUCCCAGUUUUCUUUCUUCAAUUUAAUCAUUGUGUUAUGAUGCUUAAAAGACUGCAAAACUACAAUGCAUCUUGGUCAAUCAAUUUUAUCAUUUUCCGGGAGUCAGUCUUGAGAUUCAUGAUUAUAUGCCUGAUAUUCCAUGGCUUAAUCAUGUUAAAUUGCGUAGCAUUCUGUCAUGUUUUUUAUUUUCUUUUCUUAUAGAAAGAAUAUUUGAUAAUUGUUGAAACGAUAAUGGAUGGAAGUAGCAUAGGGUAAAGAUUAGUUCAAAAGAUAUAUGUGGCUAAUGUUUUCCCCAACAUAUUUUAUGGUCUACGCAUUUGUAGCCAUUUCUUGCAAUGGCCUUAAACCUGUACUUUAGUACUAGAAAACUUUCAUAUACUUUUGCCCCUAUCCCAAAAACUAUUGAACCUUUGCUGCUCAAUGCUCAUUUAUGGCCAGUCCCCACAACUCCACAACAAAGGAAAAAAUGGGACAGGAAUCAAAGAGAAAAUGCCUUUCGUUUUCUAAUUAUGAGGUCUAUAAAUGGGAUGUCUCGUUCUUCUCUUGCAACAGGAACACCAUGUUUUACUGGUUCAUUGUUGUCUUCCUAUCCUUCAAUAAAAAAAUUAAGAUUGCUUUCAGGUGCAAUAUACACGACAUGUAGCUUCCGAAGGGGGUGAAAAAUUUGAGGAUCGGCAACACUUUUGAAUUGGACUUUGUUCAAUUCAAGAAUCUGUAUAUUUGAUUCACAUCUCCAGCUUUACAUGGUUUGCCUCGAGGUAACCUGCAAGAGAUAAGCUUAUUUAGUUACACUCAUUUCAUCUAGAACUGUAAAUUGGUAGAAUCGGAUGACAAAUAAUUUGUGAAGUCAAGGAAUUAGUGUCAUCGAAAAAGCAGAUUGGAUCAUCACUUCACUCUCAGUGGAAGACAGAAAAAAAGGAUAAGGUGCCUAAUUAGCAACUGCACCGUUUAGGACCACAACUUUAGUUAGCCAUGUUUCUUUAAAUGUGUUGUGGGGUUACUAUGGUCUCUUAUUGAGUGCAGCAAUAUCCGCUAUGCUUAAUUUGUGUAAGCCACCAGAAACAUGAAGAACGUAGCUUCAAAGACAUGUCUGUGUACCUGUAAUUUGCUGAGAAAUAAAUGAUGCAGAUCUUCCUUGUUGGUACUCCAUACUGUAGAGAUUCUGCAACUCAUCCUCCCAUGUUACGUGCUGAAUUUGCUGUUUAUGUGUAGUUGCUUUGUCAAACAUCUUGAGAUGUAUGCCUUUUAACCAUUUUAAGUAAGAAAUUUAAUCAACUUACAUUCAAACUGGAUGGAUCAAGAAAUGUUUGUGGGACUGUUACAGGGGCACUUAUGGUUCUCCUAAGCGUGGCAUCCAUUGGAUCCACAGCCAUUUCUAGACCCGAACCCGUAACUCCUUGUACUGGUGUAUUGAACUGCAGGUGGCAAUGAUCGAUCAUGCCAGUUGACGAGGCCUCGACUGCCGGAGCACAGGCAGGAAAAAUCUGCAGGGGAGAAUUGAAUUUUCAGUUGGUGGCAUAAGCAUAAACAGAUUGUAUUUGACAAAUAUAUCUCUUUAUGUCACUUAUUGAAUGAAGCCUCUGUUAUUAAUAAUAAUAUUACCUCUUUA